rnacentral:rRNA from 1 species
CACGUAGGGGACGAGCGUUGUCCGGAUUCAUUGGGCGUAAAGCGCGCGUAGGCGGCUCGGAAAGUCGGUCGUGAAAUGCCGGGGCUCAACCCCGGGACCUGCGUCCGAUACUUCCGGGCUUGGGAGGUAGGUAGGGGAGGAUCGGAAUUCCUGGUGUAGCGGUGAAAUGCGCAGAUAUCAGGAGGAACACCGGUGGCGAAGGCGGGUCUCUGGGCCGAAACUGACGCUGAGGAGCGAAAGCGUGGGGAGCAAACAGG